rnacentral:snRNA from 1 species
ACACCUGAUUUCUCUUCAGAUCGUAUAAAUCUUUCGUCUUUUACUAAAGAUUUCUGUGGAGAGGAACAGGCACGAAUGUUGAGAAAUUUUUUGAGGCGCCAUUUGUCGGUGACGU